GAAUUAAAACCAUAAUCUAAUAUACUCAAAUAAAUUAGAAUAUACUUUGAUAUGAUUAAUAUUCUUUAGUAAUAUCCGCGAUGAUGGGCGGGUAGUAAUACUAGUACAUAGGAGAUACGUAUACAGAUCAAAUAUUAUAGAUGUUUCUAUUCUACAAUUUAACAAACUUUAAAAGCAGUAGUUUCAUGAUCAUCUGACCGGUAAAAAUGAAAUGAUAAAAUAAGUUGAGACACUAGUUCGGAGACGUGUUCAUUAGUUCGUUUUUAUCUUAGAACACGGUUCGAGCUUAAGACAAAAUUUUCUUCACCAGCAAUAGUAGAAUUUAGCCUUCCACCAGCCCAACCGUUGUUUAAUGGACGAGCAGCAGCACGAGCUGGAUCCCCAACCACUCGACUGCCCUCAACUUGUUUUCCAUACUCAGGAAGGCCCUUCGCCUUUCUCUCUUUCCUUCUUUUCCUCUCCUCGUCUCUUUCUUUCCUCAGCCAACUCUCUACUGUCCUCUGCAUACCCAGUUGGAAGGCCCUUCGCCUUUCUCUCUGCUCUUCUUUUCCUCUCCUCGUCUCUUUCUUUUCUCAGCCAACUCUCUACUGUCCUCUGCAUAUCCAGUUAGAACAACCAUGCAAAAUCCAUAUGAGAAAAAUAUAUGAACAAAGUAUAUCAUGUAAAAUCCAUUUUAGAAAAAGAUAUGACAAACAAGUUGUUAUGUUUCAGCCAAGUGUCCAGGAGCUUGAUGAAAUCAAACAGUUCAUGAAUGAACCUCCCAGCUAAGGACGGGGAGUAUGUUUGAACUUUCCAAAUAAAAACUGAAUGAGGUUCUACUUUGGAUUUUAUAUUUUGUAAUGACAUCAGA
rnacentral:lncRNA from 1 species